CCUACGGGGGGCAGCAGUGAGGAAUAUUGGUCAAUGGGCGUAAGCCUGAACCAGCCAAGUCGCGUGAGGGAUGAAGGUUCUAUGGAUCGUAAACCUCUUUUAUAAGGGAGUAAAGUGCGGGACGUGUCCCGUUUUGUAUGUACCUUAUGAAUAAGGAUCGGCUAACGCCGUGCCAGCAGCCGCGGUAAUACGGAGGAUCCGAGCGUUAUCCGGAUUUAUUGGGUUUAAAGGGUGUGUAGGCGGCCCUUUAAGUCAGCGGGGAAAGUCUGUGGCUCAACCAUAGAAUUGCCGUUGAAACUGGGUGUCUUGAGUAUGUGUGAGGCAGGCGGAAUGCGUGGUGUAGCGGUGAAAUGCUUAGAUAUCACGCAGAACCCCGAUUGCGAAGGCAGCCUGCCAAGCCAUGACUGACGCUGAUGCACGAAAGCGUGGGGAUCAAACAGGAUUAGAUACCCUAGUAGUC
rnacentral:rRNA from 1 species